rnacentral:tRNA from 1 species
UCCGGGUCGGGAUCGGGGUCUGGACCCGGUUCGGGCCCAGGAUCGGGAUCGGGUCCGGGAUCGGGGUCCGGUUGGGGUCCGGGAUCCGGAUC